GAUGAACGCUGGCGGCGUGCCUAAUACAUGCCAAUCGAGCGAACAGACGAGGAGCUUGCUCCUCUGACGUUAGCGGUGGACGGGUGAGUAACACGUGGAUAACCUACCUAUAAGACUGGGAUAACUUCGGGAAACCGGAGCUAAUACCGGAUAACAUGUUGAACCGCAUGGUUCAACAGUGAAAGACGGUCUUGCUGUCACUUAUAGAUGGAUCCGCGCCGCAUUAGCUAGUUGGUAAGGUAACGGCUUACCAAGGCAACGAUGCGUAGCCGACCUGAGAGGGUGAUCGGCCACACUGGAACUGAGACACGGUCCAGACUCCUACGGGAGGCAGCAGUAGGGAAUCUUCCGCAAUGGGCGAAAGCCUGACGGAGCAACGCCGCGUGAGUGAAGAAGGUCUUCGGAUCGUAAAACUCUGUUAUUAGGGAAGAACAAAUGUGUAAGUAACUAUGCACGUCUUGACGGUACCUAAUCAGAAAGCCACGGCUAACUACGUG
rnacentral:rRNA from 1 species